rnacentral:lncRNA from 1 species
CCACCACCACCACCAUCUUUCCCUUUCUUGCCACAACACCAUCAUGACCACCAACACCUACUCAUGAUGAACAACAUUGAUCAAGAUCACCACCACCACCAAAUCUUGAUCACCAACGUUAACAACGACGAUGAUGGCGACGAUGGUGCUAAACAAGAUGAUCACGACCAUCAAAUCUUGAUCACCAACGUUAACAACGACGAUGAUGGCGACGAUGGUGCUAAACAAGAUGAUCACGACCAUCAAAUCUUGAUCCCUUAUAAUGACAAUGAUGAUGAUGAUGAUCUACUCAUGAUGCCAUCAUCACCUAAGCUUUCUGACCAAGCACCACCAAAGCCAGAGGACCAAG